UAGUGUCACGUCACAUCCGGGCUUCUGCCAGAGCAGAGGACGCCAUGUCCACCGACUGAUGUGUCACAGGACGCAUCCAAAUGGGACGACAGAGCUCAGCUGGUGACACGUCACAAUAAGAGACGGAGGCUUUGUGACACCCAGAGAGCCCCUGAAGAUCUGCUGAGUACGUCAGCUCAAUUUGGAGGCACGUGGCCCAGUGAAGAAGACAACCCAAAACAUCGUCGGCUCACACUACAAACUUCCAGACAGCUUGAUGGCGAUGAACCCGUCUGAUCAGCAGUCUGGCCUUUUCUUGGGACUUGCCACCAGUAAUUCAGGGACAACUCUUAUUUCAACAUGUGUCCAUUCUAUGGCCAGACAAUCAUCUAGAAUGGUACAGCAGCACUCUUGAGGAAAUGCAUAAAGACAACCACUCCAUUCCAACUC